GCUACACAUGCAGUCGAGCGGGGGAGGUAGCUUGCUACCGGACCUAGCGGCGGACGGGUGAGUAAUGCUUAGGAAUCUGCCUAUUAGUGGGGGACAACAUCUCGAAAGGGAUGCUAAUACCGCAUACGUCCUACGGGAGAAAGCAGGGGAUCUUCGGACCUUGCGCUAAUAGAUGAGCCUAAGUCGGAUUAGCUAGUUGGUGGGGUAAAGGCCUACCAAGGCGACRAUCUGUAGCGGGUCUGAGAGGAUGAUCCGCCACACUGGGACUGAGACACGGCCCAGACUCCUACGGGAGGCAGCAGUGGGGAAUAUUGGACAAUGGGGGGAACCCUGAUCCAGCCAUGCCGCGUGUGUGAAGAAGGCCUUAUGGUUGUAAAGCACUUUAAGCGAGGAGGAGGCUACUCUAGUUAAUACCUAGGGAUAGUGGACGUUACUCGCAGAAUAAGCACCGGCUAACUCUGUGCCAGCAGCCGCGGUAAUACAGAGGGUGCGAGCGUUAAUCGGAUUUACUGGGCGUAAAGCGUGCGUAGGCGGCUUAUUAAGUCGGAUGUGAAAUCCCCGAGCUUAACUUGGGAAUUGCAUUCGAUACUGGUGAGCUAGAGUAUGGGAGAGGAUGGUAGAAUUCCAGGUGUAGCGGUGAAAUGCGUAGAGAUCUGGAGGAAUACCGAUGGCGAAGGCAGCCAUCUGGCCUAAUACUGACGCUGAGGUACGAAAGCAUGGGGAGCAAACAGGAUUAGAUACCCUGGUAGUCCAUGCCGUAAACGAUGUCUACUAGCCGUUGGGGCCUUUGAGGCUUUAGUGGCGCAGCUAACGCGAUAAGUAGACCGCCUGGGGAGUACGGUCGCAAGACUAAAACUCAAAUGAAUUGACGGGGGCCCGCACAAGCGGUGGAGCAUGUGGUUUAAUUCGAUGCAACGCGAAGACCCUUACCUGGCCUUGACAUACUAGAA
rnacentral:rRNA from 1 species